UUGUUGGUAAGGUAAAAGCUUACCAAGGCUUCGAUCAGUAGCUGGUCUGAGAGGACGACCAGCCACACUGGGACUGAGACACGGCCCAGACUCCUACGGGAGGCAGCAGUGGGGAAUUUUGGACAAUGGGGGCAACCCUGAUCCAGCCAUGCCGCGUGAGUGAAGAAGGCCUUCGGGUUGUAAAGCUCUUUCAGCCGGAACGAAACGGUUACGGUUAACACCCGUGACUACUGACGGUACCGGAAGAAGAAGCACCGGCUAACUACGUGCCAGCAGCCGCGGUAAUACGUAGGGUGCGAGCGUUAAUCGGAAUUACUGGGCGUAAAGCGUGCGCAGGUGGUUUUGUAAGUCAGAUGUGAAAGCCCCCGGGCUCAACCUGGGAACUGCGUUUGAAACUACAAGACUAGAGUGUGGCAGAGGGGGGUGGAAUUCCGCGUGUAGCAGUGAAAUGCGUAGAGAUGUGGAGGAACACCGAUGGCGAAGGCAGCCCCCUGGGUCAACACUGACGCUCAGGCACGAAAGCAUGGGGAGCAAACAGGAUUAGAUACCCUGGUAGUCCAUGCCCUAAACGAUGUCGACUAGUUGUCGGGCCUUUACGGGCUUGGUAACGUAGCUAACGCGUGAAGUUGACCGCCUGGGGAGUACGAUCGCAAGAUUAAAACUCAAAUGAAUUGACGGGGACCCGCACAAGCGGUGGAUUAUGUGGAUUAAUUCGAUGCAACGCGAAAAACCUUACCUACCCUUGACAUGUAUCGAAGCCCGCAGAAAAGCGGGGGUGCCCGAAAGGGAACGAUAACACAGGUGCUGCAUGGCUGUCGUCAGCUCGUGUCGUGAGAUGUUGGGUUAAGUCCCGCAACGAGCGCAACCCUUGUCAUUAAUUGCCAUCAUUUAGUUGGGCACUUUAAUGAGACUGCCGG
rnacentral:rRNA from 1 species